UAUUAGGUUGGUGCAAAUGUAAUUGCUGUUUUUGUCAUUAAAACUAAUGGCAAAAACUGCAAUUACAUUUGUACCAACCUAACA
rfam:Pongo abelii chromosome 2a.